AACGCAAAUUGCACUCUCCGGUUUUCCGGGAGAGUAUGCCUGUUUGAGGGUCAGCCUAAAAAAAAUCGACGUCGUUGCUGGUUUUCGUGGUGACUUUCGUCGGAGAUUGGGUCAUCUUAAACCUUUUUCGGGUUUAAGCGAUUUAAAAAUUUUUUUUUACGAUUUCGAGAACGUUUCUAAGAUUUUUUCUUAUACGUUUAAGGGAUCGAAUGUCUUAUUAGACGUGACCGUCGCAUCGGAUCGCGUUCAUAAAUUUUUCGUUAACUGACCUCAGACAGGUAAGAGUACCCGCUGAACUUAA
rnacentral:misc_RNA from 1 species